AAGAGGUGUGGGUGAAGAACGUGGACGAAGGAGGAGAGGAUGAUGGAGCAGUAGAAGACGAUGGCGAGGGUGGCGAAGACGGACUGCGACGAAGAGCUUUGACGAACGAAUCCGCGCUCAAAUACGCGCAGAUCCCAAACACCCCGAAUCCCCAGGUCGCCAACCAGCCCACCCAGAUCAUCCUGCUCAGCCACUUCGCCGUCUCGGCUUGCGGGAAGAUCGACACCACGAGAGCGCCGAGGGUGAGGAGGGAGAGGGUGA
rnacentral:misc_RNA from 1 species